GUAGCCUAGUGGUUAGAGUGGAGGGGCGGCAGGUAGCCUAGUGGUUAGAGUGUAGGGACGGCAGGUAGCCUAGUGGUUAGAGUGUAGGGACGGCAGGUAGCCUAGUGGUUAGAGUGGAGGGGCGGCAGGUAGCCUAGUGGUUAGAGUGGAGGGGCGGCAGGUAGCCUAGUGGUUAGAGUGUAGGGGCGGCAGGUAGCCUAGUGGUUAGAGUGGAGGGGCGGCAGGUAGCCUAGUGGUUAGAGUGGAGGGGCGGCAGGUAGCCUAGUGGUUAGAGUGGAGGGGCGGCAGGUAGCCUAGUGGUUAGAGUGUAGGGGCGGCAGGUAGCCUAGUGGUUAGAGUGGAGGGGCGGCAGGUAGCCUAGUGGUUAGAGUGGAGGGGCGGCAGGUAGCCUAGUGGUUAGAGUGGAGGGGCGGCAGGUAGCCUAGUGGUUAGAGUGUAGGGGCGGCAGGUAGCCUAGUGGUUAGAGUGUAGGGGCGGCAGGUAGCCUAGUGGUUAGAGUGUAGGGGCGGCAGGUAGCCUAGUGGUUAGA